rnacentral:rRNA from 1 species
AGCGAACGCUGGCGGCAGGCUUAACACAUGCAAGUCGAGCGGGCACUUUCGGGUGUCAGCGGCGGACGGGUGAGUAACGCGUGGGAACGUGCCCCCUGGUUCGGAAUAACUCAGGGAAACUUGAGCUAAUACCGGAUACGCCCUUUUGGGGAAAGGCUUGCUGCCGGAGGAUCGGCCCGCGUCUGAUUAGCUAGUUGGUGAGGUAACGGCUCACCAAGGCGACGAUCAGUAGCUGGUCUGAGAGGAUGAUCAGCCACACUGGGACUGAGACACGGCCCAGACUCCUACGGGAGGCAGCAGUGGGGAAUAUUGGACAAUGGGCGCAAGCCUGAUCCAGCCAUGCCGCGUGAGUGAUGAAGGCCUUAGGGUUGUAAAGCUCUUUUAUCCGGGACGAUAAUGACGGUACCGGAGGAAUAAGCCCCGGCUAACUUCGUG